AUGCAAGUCGAACGCUUCUUUCCUCCCGAGUGCUUGCACUCAAUUGGAAAGAGGAGUGGCGGACGGGUGAGUAACACGUGGGUAACCUACCCAUCAGAGGGGGAUAACACUUGGAAACAGGUGCUAAUACCGCAUAACAGUUUAUGCCGCAUGGCAUAAGAGUGAAAGGCGCUUUCGGGUGUCGCUGAUGGAUGGACCCGCGGUGCAUUAGCUAGUUGGUGAGGUAACGGCUCACCAAGGCCACGAUGCAUAGCCGACCUGAGAGGGUGAUCGGCCACACUGGGACUGAGACACGGCCCAGACUCCUACGGGAGGCAGCAGUAGGGAAUCUUCGGCAAUGGACGAAAGUCUGACCGAGCAACGCCGCGUGAGUGAAGAAGGUUUUCGGAUCGUAAAACUCUGUUAUUAGAGAAGAACAAGGACGUUAGUAACUGAACGUCCCCUGACGGUAUCUAACCAGAAAGCCACGGCUAACUACGUGCCAGCAGCCGCGGUAAUACGUAGGUGGCAAGCGUUGUCCGGAUUUAUUGGGCGUAAAGCGAGCGCAGGCGGUUUCUUAAGUCUGAUGUGAAAGCCCCCGGCUCAACCGGGGAGGGUCAUUGGAAACUGGGAGACUUGAGUGCAGAAGAGGAGAGUGGAAUUCCAUGUGUAGCGGUGAAAUGCGUAGAUAUAUGGAGGAACACCAGUGGCGAAGGCGGCUCUCUGGUCUGUAACUGACGCUGAGGCUCGAAAGCGUGGGGAGCAAACAGGAUUAGAUACCCUGGUAGUCCACGCCGUAAACGAUGAGUGCUAAGUGUUGGAGGGUUUCCGCCCUUCAGUGCUGCAGCAAACGCAUUAAGCACUCCGCCUGGGGAGUACGACCGCAAGGUUGAAACUCAAAUGAAUUGACGG
rnacentral:rRNA from 1 species